UAAUCACAUCAAGAGAGGGUGAAAGCCCCGCCAACCAGCCUAAUCGGGCAACGGUGGUCUUAAGAUGCGACCCUUAGGGUAACAAUUCGAUUAAGG
rnacentral:ncRNA from 10 species